UACGGGGGGGGCAAGCGUUGUUCGGAAUUACUGGGCGUAAAGGGCUCGUAGGUGGCCAACUAAGUCAGACGUGAAAUCCCUCGGCUUAACCGGGGAACUGCGUCUGAUACUGGAUGGCUUGAGUUUGGGAGAGGGACGCGGAAUUCCAGGUGUAGCGGUGAAAUGCGUAGAUAUCAGGAGGAACACCUAUAGCGAAGGCAGCUCGCUGGGACGGUACUGACGCUGAGGCGCGAAAGCGUGGGGAGCGAACAGG
rnacentral:rRNA from 1 species